rnacentral:rRNA from 1 species
ACGAACGCUGGCGGCGUGCCUAAUACAUGCAAGUAGAACGCACAGUUUAUACCGUAGCUUGCUACACCAUAGACUGUGAGUUGCGAACGGGUGAGUAACGCGUAGGUAACCUGCCUGGUAGCGGGGGAUAACUAUUGGAAACGAUAGCUAAUACCGCAUAAUAUUAAUUAUUGCAUGAUAAUUAAUUGAAAGGUGCAAUUGCACCACUACCAGAUGGACCUGCGUUGUAUUAGCUAGUAGGUGAGGUAACGGCUCACCUAGGCGACGAUACAUAGCCGACCUGAGAGGGUGAUCGGCCACACUGAGACUGAGACACGGCCCAGACUCCUACGGGAGGCAGCAGUAGGGAAGCUUCGGCAAUGGACGAAAGUCUGACCGAGCAACGCCGCGUGAGAGAAGAAGGUUUUCGGAUCGUAAAGCUCUGUUGUAAGAUAAGAACGGGUGUGAGAGUGGAAAGUUCACACUGUGACGGUAUCUUACCAGAAAGGGACGGCUAACUACGUG